UAACCCUGUCAAUGGAUAUCCGAAAUCCGAAUUCGAAUUCGAUUUCGAAUUCGUUUAAGCCUAAUCGAAUUCGGAUAAUCGAAUUCGGAUACGAAUUCGGAUACUGAAAAUACUAUCCGACACUAAUCGAAUUCGAUAAUUAUCCGAAUUCGAAUUAAUAUUAAAUAUAUAAUAAUUUUAUAAUUUUAACCUUCUCUAAUAUAAUAUUGUAAUGUAAUCUAUAUGUUUUAUAAUUUUAACCUUCUCUAAUAAAUAUUAAAUAUCUUACACCAUAUUAGCAAUAAACCCAUCUCAUUUUUUAUCAAAUCCCUAAACCUAAUCCCUAAAUCUCUAAAAAUUCAUUCUUAUUUCUUAUUCCCCCUUUCUUAAGAGUUCGCUAGGGUUUGUGAUUUCUUCUCAUUCCUCUUUUUUUUGCACAAGCACACAAGAGUUAGCUAGGGUUUGACUCGGCUCCUUCUCAGUUCUCAUCUUGGUAAGUGGUAACUCGGCUCCCCUCAGUCCCCACAAAAAAACAGAUUUUUGUGGUGAGAUGCUAGUCGGAUCAUGUAAAGAUUACUAUGUUG
rnacentral:lncRNA from 1 species